rnacentral:rRNA from 1 species
UACGUAGGGUGCGAGCGUUAAUCGGAAUUACUGGGCGUAAAGUGUGCGCAGGCGGCCGCGCAAGUCGAGUGUGAAAUCCCCGAGCUUAACUUGGGAAUUGCGCUCGAAACUACGUGGCUGGAGUGUGGCAGAGGAAGGUGGAAUUCCACGUGUAGCGGUGAAAUGCGUAGAGAUGUGGAGGAACACCGAUGGCGAAGGCGGCUCACUGGCCCGUUACCGACGCUCAGGCGCGACAGCGUGGGGAGCAAACAGG